rnacentral:lncRNA from 1 species
CUUGAGACUUCUAGUCUGACCAGCUGGAGCUGGUAUAAAGUAGCGGAAACACAGAGCAGCAGACAUUGUAGUCUCCACAGAGCCAGAGCCCUUUUCUGCUGGGAUAAUCACACAGUGUGUGCGAGGGUGUGAAGGUUCCAGGGUAAGCAGGAUAGUGGGACAUGGCUCUGGUAGGGGUUCACAGAGAGUGGAAGGAUGAGUGAGAGAUCUCAAGGUCUCUAACUUGUCUGGGAGGGGUGAGUGCAGGACAGCAGGAAUACAGGAAAGGGAGAGGAGUCCCCAAGAUCUGCAUGGCUGGAUGGGGUGCAAGGAAGGCUGAAGGAACGUAUUUAUUCUAGGUCUUGAGGAUGCAUUGUAGUUAGGAGUACAAGGGACUUGAAAAUGAAUGUCCCAUGAUAAUUUUAAGGAAAGAGACAAGACGUGGAAUAAGGGAGGCGUCCCAGUCCCCAAGUCAGAGAGCACUUCAGAUAUUAUGAUGGCUUAGGGGCGUUCUUCUUGUCUUCCACCAUGCUACAAGGAGUUGGUUAGCAAUUCAGAGUGGAGCCCACAGGAGAAUUCAAAACAUAAGUUUUAAGCCCCAACUCUGCUGGGCUGAGUCCUUCCUCAGCUGGGCUUUGAGCCUAUCACCCCUUGUUUCUUUCCGGAGACUAAGUUCUGCAACACUGGGAUACUGCAAUACUGCUAGUCCCUGCUAGGGCAUCUCCGAGGUUAUCUCCUUGCCCUGGGUAAAGUAAAGGUCUCUCCCAAAAAACUCUAAAGAAAACAAAAAUAGGUCACUUGGUUCAGAAAAGUCUUGCCUGUAUGAAGGUUCUUGGAGGUUUUGUUGCUAUUAUUCUUCCCCUGCAACCCCCCCUCCCCCAUGCCAUUCAGGUUAAAAGUGUCAACGGACAAGUUUAUUCUAUGUUGUUUAUUUACAUACAUAUUUAUUACCAUUUUUAUGGAUCUUAUAGGAAUUUCCUACCACCUGGAAGACUAGAUCCAGGAUCAAAUCCUCAGGGAUGGCUCUGCUUACAGUGCGUAGACGGAGGAUCUGAGAACAGUUGAUGAUUAGGAAGCGGAAGUACACGAAGCACAGAGACACAGCACGGUGGCACAGAGAAGAGGAGGAGAGCUACGGAAGCUCUGAGAAGGGCAAGAACCAGCUGCCAGGCCUCACCUGCAUCCUCUUUUUCCAGCACUGGCCCAUCCAGGCUCCCAGACAGAGCUCAGCCUGGCUUCUCACAAUGUGUGUCUCACUCCUGGGCCACUGCCAAGGCUUAGGCAUGAAAACUUGACAUGCGGGACUGGAGAGAUGGCUUAGUGGUUAAGAGCACUGACUACUCUGCCAGAGGUCCUGAGUUCAAUUCCCAGCAAUCAUAUGGUGGCUCACAACCAUCUGUAAAGGAAUCUGAUUCCCUCUUCUUGUGCAUCUGAAGGCAGCUACAGUGUACUCAGACAUAAAAUAAAUACUUAAAUCUUUUUUUUUUUUCUCUGAGACAGGGUUUUUCUGUGUAACUCUGGCUGUCCUGGAACUCACUCUGUAGACCAGGCUGACCUCGAACUCAUAAAUCCACCUGCCUCUGCCUCCUAAGUGCUGGGAUUAAAGGCAUGAGCCACCACGCCCGGCUUACUUAAAUCUUAAAACAACAAAAAGAAAGAAAGAAAGAAAGAAAGAAAGAAAGAAAAAGAAAAAGAAAAAAGGAAAAUUGACCUGAGCCUUGUGGCCCUGGCAGGAUUGAUACAGAAACUAUCAGUUUCAGAGUGUCUUAGUUACUGUCAUAUUGCCUCGAAGAGAUUCCACGACCAAGGCAGCUUAUAAAGGAAAGCAUUUAAAAGGGGGCUUGCUCAUAAUUUCAGAGUCUGUGGCCAUUAUGUGGGGAGCACUAGG